rnacentral:rRNA from 1 species
AUACGGGAGGGUGCAAGCGUUGUCCGGAAUCAUUGGGCGUAAAGAGUUCGUAGGUGGCAUGUUAAGUCUGGUGUUAAAGGCAGAAGCUCAACUUCUGUAGGGCACUGGAUACUGGCAAGCUUGAAUGUGGUAGGGGUAAAGGGAAUUCCUGGUGUAGCGGUGAAAUGCGUAGAUAUCAGGAGGAACAUCGGUGGCGAAAGCGCUUUACUGGGCCAUGAUUGACACUGAGGAACGAAAGCCGGGGUAGC